CCUAACAACCCCAUCUAUUGAAUAAAAAAAGGAAUCUGAAAAACAAAAACACCAACCGCAGCCACCAAUCAUCUUCAUCUUUCCAACCACCAACUCAAGCACGCUCACCACGAAUCCUUCUUGCCAGCUGAAUAUCCUUGGGCAUAAUGGUUACACGCUUGGCGUGAAUGGCACACAGGUUAGUGUCCUCAAAGAGCCCAACAAGGUAUGCCUCAGCAGCUUCUUGCAAUGCAAGCACGGCGUGGCUCUGGAA
rnacentral:lncRNA from 1 species